GUGGGGAAUAUUGGACAAUGGGCGCAAGCCUGAUCCAACCAUGCCGCGUGAGUGAUGAAGGCCUUAGGGUUGUAAAGCUCUUUCAGUGGGGACGAUAAUGACGGUACCCACAGAAGAAGCCCCGGCUAACUUCGUGCCAGCAGCCGCGGUAAUACGAAGGGGGCUAGCGUUGUUCGGAUUUACUGGGCGUAAAGCGCACGUAGGCGGAUCGUUAAGUCGGGGGUGAAAUCCUGGAGCUCAACUCCAGAACUGCCUUCGAUACUGGCGAUCUUGAGUCCGGAAGAGGUGAGUGGAACUCCUAGUGUAGAGGUGGAAUUCGUAGAUAUUAGGAAGAACACCAGUGGCGAAGGCGGCUCACUGGUCCGGUACUGACGCUGAGGUGCGAAAGCGUGGGGAGCAAACAGGAUUAGAAACCCGGGUAGUCC
rnacentral:rRNA from 1 species